rnacentral:rRNA from 1 species
ACGCCGCGUGAGGGAUGACGGCCUUCGGGUUGUAAACCUCUUUCGUACCGACGAAGCGAAAGUGACGGUAGGUACAGAAGAAGCACCGGCCAACUACGUGCCAGCAGCCGCGGUAAUACGUAGGUGGCAAGCGUUGUCCGGAUUUAUUGGGCGUAAAGCGCGCGCAGGUGGUUUCUUAAGUCUGAUGUGAAAGCCCACGGCUCAACCGUGGAGGGUCAUUGGAAACUGGGGAACUUGAGUGCAGAAGAGGAUAGUGGAAUUCCAAGUGUAGCGGUGAAAUGCGUAGAGAUGUGGAGGAACACCAGUGGCGAAGGCGGCUCUCUGGUCUGUAACUGACGCUGAGGCGCGAAAGCGUGGGGAGCGAACAGGAUUAGAUACCCUGGUAGUCCACGCCGUAAACGAUGAGUGCUAAGUGUUAGAGGGUUUCCGCCCUUUAGUGCUGCAGCUAACGCAUUAAGCACUCCGCCUGGGGAGUACGGCCGCAAGGCUGAAACUCAAAGGAAUUGACGG